CAUAUUUUCUUCCCUCUUCCCUUGAUCUGAGCCUUCUUUUAAUCUGGUUUCUUCCAAGUUCUCUUUCUUCUUUCUGAGCCUCUCUGCUACUAACUCCCUUCCUGCCCUCUCUCUUUCCCUCUUUUCCUCAUUAUCACCUUUAUCUCUGUAAACUUCCAUCCAUUCUCCUCCCUUUCUUCCCAUCCUUCUUUUCCCCAAGUUGAGACAACACAAGGACAAGAGGCAGCAGGGAGGCUCAUGGCCAGGAUUCUUGGUUUUCUUACCCAUCACCUUGGUGGAGCAUAGAGUUGGUCAUGCAUUCUUCCUUCCUAAUUUAGAGUUGGCGUAAUUGCAGGGCAGAAACUCCCUUCCCUGGGUCCUUUUCAGAAACAAUUUUCAAGACAAACCCAAACAUCGAAUACCUUCUCCACCUGCUUGCUAAUAUCUAGAAUUCCUCCAACAGAGGACAUUACAUUCCACAAUCAAAGACCAAGUUUCAAACCUAAAUAAUAAACAGUUCACAUCUGGGCAGCUCUUAACAGUUUUCCAAACACAUCCAGCUGUUUUCAACCAGUUCCCUCAUUUGACCCUCACCAUAAUCUGGAGAUGGAAGCAUUAUUAUACUAUCAUCUGCACUUUGAAGUGAGAAACGUGAGGUUCAGAGAUAUUAAGUAGCUUUGCAAAGGUUGAUCUAAUCAAUUGUGUCUGAGUCUAACUUCCAUGUUUUUCUCCACCCCACAUCACUUCUCUGAGCAGGAACCACAGUGAUCUGACAUGAAGGGAAACUUUCCUCUAAUUUCUUCAGCUCCAAGACGGCUCCCAAUUCCUGUGUCUCUGACAUCUUUGAGAUCCUUGUGAUUGUUGCUAUUGAAGCCCAUCAGUGGGGUAUGUUACCACUGGAUGGCAUAUGAUACCCUGGUUUCAUGGAGCCCUGCUUGCCAAAUGGAAGAAAGGAACCAAUGCUGACUGGAGAUCUCACUGGAUGCUUUUCCACCAACUUUUUGUUCAGCCUAUGGUUAGGAAUAAUCUCACUAUUUUAGAUGAAAAAUUUGAAGUUUAGAUAGGCUGUGUUUUGUCUGCUAAUGUACAAGGAGGAGGGAUAGUAAUUGUGGUGAUAACUGUGUAUCGUGUGCUUCCCAUGAGCCAGGUUCCAGGCUGGGUGCAUCUAUGAAGAAUCCCUUUCAAUCCUCACAACAGCCUAUGAUUCCAACAAUUUUUACUCUUACUCUUUUUUUUUAUGAGUAUAGUUGAUUUACAGUGUUGUGUCAAUUUUUGCUGUACAUUAUAGGGACCCAGUCAUACACACAUACAUAUGUGUGUGUAUAUAUAUAUGUAUGUAUGAAUAAUAUAUAUAUAUAUUCUUUUUCUCAUACUAUCUUCUAUCAUGUUCUGCCCA
rnacentral:lncRNA from 1 species